UAGAGCAAAUCUCAAAAAAACAAUCUCAGUUCAGACUGCAGGCUGCAACUCGCCUGCACGAAGUCGGAAUUGCUAGUAAUCGUAGGUCAGCAUACUACGGUGAAUACGUUCCCGGGCCUUGUACACACCGCCCGUCAAACCAUGAGAGUUGGCAACACCCGAAGUCGGUAGUCUAACCGCAAGGAGGACGCCGCCGAAGGUGGGGUUGAUGAUUAGGGUUAAGUCGUAACAAGGUAUC
rnacentral:rRNA from 1 species